CACAUUCGACCAGCGUUUCCAUCUGAUCCACCAACCUCCACCCGUCUCUCACCUCUCCCCGCCCCUGUCCAAUCCACUGAUUCCGCCCCGACACCCUCCACCCCUCCCCUCGCGUAGCCCCAACGUCCGGCACCCUCCCCCUCCUCUUCAUCUCCUGCGCCGUGCGCUCGGCCCUGCCUUCCUCCACCACAAGCCACGGCCUCCCUCCUGUGCCGCCACGCCUCCAGGGCACGAGCCGCGAGCGCAUCGACCCGGUGGAGUCCAUUUGCCAUGCCCACUGCCACCAACAGCGCGCACUCGGCACCCCCUUCCUCCUCCACGAGCUGUGGCACCCCUCCUCCUCCGCAGCGCCGCCUGGGCGCGAGCCAUGGGCGGAUCGAGCCGGUGGAGUCCAUCCGCCACGAUCGCUGCCACCAACUGAAUCCAAACGCCUCAGCUGAUCCGCCCAAAGGCUAUCUCCACCUUCCUCCACGCAGAUCCAGGCAUCCCCUUCUCCCUUGCUUCCAAUUCCUCACCGUCGGGCGUGCAGACUGCUGAGGGGAUCCAUCUGCACCUGGGUUGACUUCUGUCUUCACUGGUGCGGAGGCUCUAGGUCCGCCCUGGAUUAGACUUUUGAAUUGGCGAUCAAUGACUGUUGUAGAUGCCGAAAAAUCUAGGCAAAUUAAGUGAAGGGAUCCUUUGCUGGCUGAGGAACAAAUAGAUCUUUCAAUCACUAGAUGUGAUUAGGCCUUCAGCCAUGCAGAAAUCCAAUGCAUAGGCCUUUCCUACUAUUAUCUUCGAGGAUGCUCUUCGGAGAGAAAUGGAGUAUCGUAAGAGAUUGCAGAGGACUCACCCUCAUCUACUGAUUGCCCUCAAUGGAGACCCUGAACGGCAUAAAGAGGUCGGUAAAGAUUCAAUAUGUGAUGAUUUUAAGAGAAAGUUCACCCCAGAUAGCACUAUACCUCAACAGCAGUCUAGUUUCAGUUGUUCCGCUGUACAGAGACAGACAGCUAUCAGUUGUUCCGCUGUACAGAGACAGACAGCUAAUUGGUACCCCAUCAAGAAAAAAGUGAAAGUUCCACCCCUUCCUUCCCAGAUUCUGCAGUGUCCUAGACCAAAUGUGGUACCUUCUUUUUGGUGUAAGAUUUGCAAGGUUGAUUGUGUUUCUGAAUUCAGUUUCGCUGCCCACAUUGGAGGGAAAAAACAUAAGGCUAAAAAGCUGGAGAUCUUUGGAAAUAGGAACACUGGGGUUAGUGUUCGGGUACUAGGAAUCCUGUGCAAAAUAGCCAUGCAGUCUCUGGAAGCAGAAACAGUGAAUCAAAUGUGUCUAGUGGUAUUGUUUCUGCAAGCUGUGAUCUGUCAUCUAGAAGAUGAACUAAUGGAAUAGAAGAAAGUGGAUGCACUGCCCCACAAAUGAGCAGCAUGAGUUUUACUGAAAUCUGAUGUCUAUAAUAUGCUCCUUGUGCAUUUUCCUCUGAAACGUAGAGUAAUGUGUUAAGUUCUCAAACAAUCAGUGCACUAUGGAAAUUUCAUCUUAUGGUGUUGUACCAUGCAACAAUACAUAAGUUGAAAAAGGUUGCAGUACCCUAUUGGGGACGCUAUCUAUAUAUGCAAGAUUGGUGCUAGUCAGUUUUCUUACUUCUUUCUUGAUUAGGAGGUAAAAACUCAGAAGCUAGUGCUGAUAAAUUACUAGAUCAUUUUGGCUGAAGGCAUGAAUGUGUAUAAUGGAGACGGUCUGGUGAGCCAUAUUGUAGCAUUUGCAGGUUAUUGAUUUAUUAUUCUGUAGUAGAUAGCUGUAAACUAGCAAAUGACUACAAUAUUAGUUAAAUAUCAAUCCCAUUACAUCCAA